rnacentral:lncRNA from 1 species
CACAAAAGUAGAAUUAAGACAUCCGGGAUAAAUGACUCAGCUGAGCUCAAUGAAGCCAAAACAUGUGCGUCCAGGCUUAAUUGGUUGCACAAAGACCAAGCCAGGAUGAGCAGACACGGAUUCAUUAAGCCAGGUGAAACCAAUCCUGGAUAGGUGCGCGCUCACGGCUCACUCAAAUAGACCCCGCCACAGAUCACAGAUUAACUGAUUUACCAUGGCAACUAGAGCCGCGUACUUUUCCCCGUCGGAAGCACAAAUCCUCAUGGAGGCAUACGAGGAGGUAAAAUAUAUAAUUAAGAAGAAAGGCAACACCGCCACAGUGAUAAAGCAAAGAGAAAAAGCGUGGCAAAGUAUUGCAGACCGCCUGAAUGCAUUAAACAUGAACGGGCCAAAACGGACAUGGCAGCAGGUCAAAAUCAAAUACAAGAACAUUCUGCAGAAUGCAGUGAAAAAGAAUACCCACAGACAAGGCACGGGUGGUGGGUCACCAAAGGCUGACCUUACCCCAGCAGAGGACAUGGCCUUGGAGCUAAAUAAAGGCAGGCCCGUCUUAGAGGGGAUCCCUGGGGGGAAAGAGACGAGCAUAGGUUCCUCCCAAGAUGCCACCCGCUUCAUUCAAGUGUCUGGCAGCACUGUGUUCCUGUUAGAGCCACCAGCACAAGCACCAGACGAUGCUGAUCCAGGUGAAGGCCCCAGUGCAGCAGCAACAGCACAUGAUGGAGACGAUGAUGAGGAGGAGACCAUCUCUCUGGAUUCCAGAAGGCAUGAGGACCCAGAUGCUAUACAGUGGGAAAACCAGCCUGGCAACAUAGUGCGUAUUAAUAAAAGGACACCACAUCCUGCCAAAUUCCAGCUGCGCUAAUUGUAUUGUGUUCACAGAGCUCACAAGCUAUCAGAAAGUUGUAUGGCAACCACCUCCGGCGCCAAAUAGAACUGGCAGACAUAGACAUUCAGUACAAGAAGAAAAAGAUGGAAAAUCUUGCACUGGAGUCCGAAAUAAAAAAGAGGACAAUUAGGAAACUGGACCUUGAAAUAAAAAAACUUGAGAGGGAGGUGAGAUAUGCCUUCAAUGUACACUGUAUGCUAACUGUAACACAAAUGUAUUAAUCAUUAUUUUUCUUUCCUCCCCCAGCUCCAAGAAGAUGACACAGCUCAAAAUAAAAAUUAGCAAUCAGUACAACCAAGUCAUCGUUAUAAGGCAUCGCCCUCUUUUGCCCACCCCC